UAAUUGGAGAGUUUGAUCCUGGCUCAGAAUGAACGCUGGCGGCGUGCUUAACACAUGCAAGUCGUACGAGAAACCGAAGCUUCGGCUUCGGGAGUAAAGUGGCGGACGGGUGAGUAACGCGUGGGUAAUCUACCUCCGAAUCUGGGAUAACAUUGCGAAAGCGAUGCUAAUACCGGAUGGUAUCUUGCGACCCAGGUUGUCAAGAUUAAAGGUGGCCUCUACAAGUAAGCUACCGUUCGGAGAUGAGCCCGCGUGCCAUUAGCUUGUUGGUGGGGUAAUGGCCUACCAAGGCGACGAUGGCUAGCUGGUCUGAGAGGAUGGUCAGCCACACUGGAACUGAGACACGGUCCAGACUCCUACGGGAGGCAGCAGUGAGGAAUUUUGCGCAAUGGGGGAAACCCUGACGCAGCAACGCCGCGUGAGUGAUGAAGGCCUUCGGGUCGUAAAGCUCUGUC
rnacentral:rRNA from 1 species